AUUUGCCACAGACAGUUAAGGCCUUAUGCUGCAUUUAUUAGAAGGCGUUCCCAAUUCUGGUUGUCCUAGUAAAAACUAUAAACAAAUGAGUAACAAUCCUCUCAGUAAAUGACAAAAGACGGAUGACAUGAACUUCACUGCUUCACUCUCAUUGGUAGUUGCUACCAAAAGUCCUUCAUCAAGUUGAACUUUCCUCAAAGUUGUGGCAUAGCUGGACAUGCCCACUUCCUGUUGUCAAUGGUCACAGUUGCUCAUGUUGCUGAAUGGGGCAAAGCUUUCAUUGGAAUGAACGAGAUUGUGUUGCUAGUCGCUGGCGGUGUACAAGCAGCAUUAGUGUGUGUGUCUUUAAAAAUAUAUCAAAUGCAAAUUACCUGAUCUAACAUUCCCAGCUACAGAGGGCAUCCUUUAUUCAGUCCCUAAUGCAGAUGGUUGGAGUGUUGAUCUACCUAACAUGAGGGAGCAAUCGUUUUGAGUCCUGAGACCCUGGGAUGACCACCGUGAACAAAUACAGAAGCACUCAAUUUGAGUCCUGAGACCCUGGGGUGACCACCGUGAACAAAUACAGACUGCAAAAAGGCAGUCUUGAUGGUACUAGGAUGAAUGCAAAUAAAGACUAACCACCUGACUUCAGCGGUCCAGUCUCUUGUGGGAAGCAGGUGCUUGUUACCCCAAAUACGGAUGAAGUGUGACGAAGAG